rnacentral:rRNA from 1 species
CGCUGGCGGCGUGCCUAAUACAUGCAAGUCGAACGGUCUUUCUAUGGAAGCUUGCUUCCACUGAGAAGAUAGUGGCGAACGGGUGAGUAACACGUGGGUAACCCGCCCAUAAGAGGGGGAUAACAUCCGGAAACGGGUGCUAAUACCGCAUAGUUUUUCUUGAUCGCAUGAUUGAGAAAGGAAAGACGGCCUUUGUGCUGUCGCUUAUGGAUGGACCCGCGGCGUAUUAGUUAGUUGGUGAGGUAACGGCUCACCAAGACGAUGAUACGUAGCCGACCUGAGAGGGUGAUCGGCCACAUUGGGACUGAGACACGGCCCAAACUCCUACGGGAGGCAGCAGUAGGGAAUCUUCCGCAAUGGACGAAAGUCUGACGGAGCAACGCCGCGUGAGUGAAGAAAAGGGUUUUCGGAUCGUAAAACUCUGUUGUCAGAGAAGAACAAGUUGGAGAGUAACUGCUCCAGCCUUGACGGUAUCUGACCAGAAAGCCACGGCUAACUACGUGCCAGCAGCCGC